rnacentral:rRNA from 1 species
GACGAACCGUGCGAACGUUAUUCGGAAUCACUGGGCUUAAAGCGCGUGUAGGCGGUUGGGAACGUCGGUCGUUGAAAUCCCCCGGCUCAACCGGGGAAUGGGCGCCGAAACGACCCGUCUGGAGGGACGUAGGGGGACCUGGAACUUCCGGUGGAGCGGUGAAAUGCGUUGAGAUCGGAAGGAACGCCCGUGGCGAAAGCGAGGUCCUGGACGUCUACUGACGCUGAGACGCGAAAGCGAGGGGAGCGAACGGG